rnacentral:rRNA from 1 species
GAGUUUGAUCAUGGCUCAGGACGAACGCUGGCGGCGUGCUUAACACAUGCAAGUCGAACGGUGAAGCGCCUUCCUUUUUGGUGGGUGUGGAUGAGUGGCGAACGGGUGAGUAACACGUGAGUAACCUGCCCCCCUCUUCUGGAUAACCGCAUGAAAGUGUGGCUAAUACGGGAUAUUCUGUGCCUGCUGCAUGGUGGGUGUGGGGAAGAUUGCGCUUUUUUGGUGUUUUUGGUGGGGGAUGGGCUCGCGGCCUAUCAGCUUGUUGGUGGGGUGAUGGCCUACCAAGGCGGUGACGGGUAGCCGGCCUGAGAGGGUGGACGGUCACACUGGGACUGAGACACGGCCCAGACUCCUACGGGAGGCAGCAGUGGGGAAUAUUGCACAAUGGGCGCAAGCCUGAUGCAGCGACGCCGCGUGAGGGAUGGAGGCCUUCGGGUUGUGAACCUCUUUCGCCAGUGAAGCAGGCCUGCUCCUUUUUUGUGGGUGGGUUGACGGUAGCUGGAUAAGAAGCGCCGGCUAACUACGUGCCAGCAGCCGCGGUAAUACGUAGGGCGCGAGCGUUGUCCGGAAUUAUUGGGCGUAAAGAGCUCGUAGGCGGCUGGUCGCGUCUGUCGUGAAAUCCUCUGGCUUAACUGGGGGCUUGCGGUGGGUACGGGCCGGCUUGAGUGCGGUAGGGGAGACUGGAACUCCUGGUGUAGCGGUGGAAUGCGCAGAUAUCAGGAAGAACACCGGUGGCGAAGGCGGGUCUCUGGGCCGUUACUGACGCUGAGGAGCGAAAGCGUGGGGAGCGAACAGGAUUAGAUACCCUGGUAGUCCACGCCGUAAACGUUGGGCACUAGGUGUGGGGGGCCUUUUCCGGGUUUUCCGCGCCGUAGCUAACGCAUUAAGUGCCCCGCCUGGGGAGUACGGCCGCAAGGCUAAAACUCAAAGGAAUUGACGGGGGCCCGCACAAGCGGCGGAGCAUGCGGAUUAAUUCGAUGCAACGCGAAGAACCUUACCAAGGCUUGACAUGUGCCGGUCGGCUCCGGAGACGGGGUUUCCUCCUUGUGGGGCCGGUUCACAGGUGGUGCAUGGUUGCCGUCAGCUCGUGUCGUGAGAUGUUGGGUUAAGUCCCGCAACGAGCGCAACCCUUGUCUCGUGUUGCCAGCACGUUGUGGUGGGGACUCGCGGGAGACUGCCGGGGUCAACUCGGAGGAAGGUGGGGAUGACGUCAAAUCAUCAUGCCCCUUAUGUCUUGGGCUUCACGCAUGCUACAAUGGCCGGUACAGAGGGCUGCGAUACCGUGAGGUGGAGCGAAUCCCUUAAAGCCGGUCUCAGUUCGGAUCGGUGUCUGCAACUCGACACCGUGAAGUUGGAGUCGCUAGUAAUCGCAGAUCAGCAACGCUGCGGUGAAUACGUUCUCGGGCCUUGUACACACCGCCCGUC